CACACACAAAUCACACACAUACAUGGGUAAAAAUGAACAAUGAUCGAGUUGAACCGGAAGAGGGACAAGAGAUGGAGCCAUGGGAAAAAGUCAAAAAACAAUCUAGAACAGACCAUCAGUUUUCUCAGUUAUAAAGCACCUUUGCUAACAAAGUUGGUUCACAAAUUAGUACUAAAUCACUGUUUAGUGUUCAAAUGUACAAUACUUGCAAAAUGCCUUUAGGUCGAGGAACAUCGGAUUUGCAGGCUGAGGAGAAAUCCUUAAUGAAUCGGUCCAAAGUUGUAUUCAAUAUCUUCUGCGUUGGAUGAAGAAAUAUGAAACAACUUAAGCUGUUAAUUUGACUCUUAGUGGGAAAAGAGUUCUUUCUCUAUCUCAUAGAUGAGCACAUGGCUGGGUUGCAGGCGUAGGUGUAACCCUGACUGAAAUUUACAGUCCAUAGAAAAAAAACUAUUUUUGGCAUAAUUACCCUUCUAGUAAAACUGUUUAUGUGUGAAAAAAAAAAACAAUGAUAAAAGAAAAUUGAGAGAAAUAAAAUGCUUUAUUAAUUAUAUCAGUAACAUGCAAAUUACUGCAGCAACAUUUAUCCAAUUAGAGUUAGAAUCUGCACUGCAGGUGUAGAUCGUCCAAUUGAGGGUGAUCAGCAAUGAUGCUGACUCCGCCCACUGGGAGACGCAGACGAGACAGAGAAGGAACAGAAACGCAUGAAAACAAAGCUUAAGAAUUCUGUGUUGAAACGAUCUAAUUUUGAGAAUUUAUUAGUGAACAACUACUGAACAAAGUAUAUAAAAGUUAUUUAGAGUUAAAUUGCUUACCGAAUUGAGUAGUUUUGUGAAAGAGCUUGUUGUGGCCUUGUUGAUCCGGAGCCUCGAGCCAAAGUUGGUCAGCGUCGUCACCGUAGUUCGUGGUGCAAUCUGAAAAAAAAGAUUAACAAAACACUUAAUUCAAAGGAAUCGGCCAGUUUUUGUUGUAUAUGUAGAAGUUUGGAUUUUCCGCUGUGAUUCACGCGCAUGGUGAGGAUUCAUCAAGCCGCAUUGAGAGAGAAAAGAAAGAUGGCGAGCCCCCAGACUGAAUUUGGAUCUCUGAUUUCCUAUCAUCUUAUCCACUUCGUGGUAUCGUUUGUUUUUCCCUUCUGAACUCUGAUGGACUCAGGUAUAUUUUUUUGAACUGAAUUUUCGAAUGGACUAUUUUUCUAAUAUUGAAUGGACUGAGGUAUAUAUCUUUCUGAACUGAGGUGAACACUAUUUACAAUUUAUUUUGUUUAUGUAUAUAUUUCUGAAAAGUGUUAUUUGGUUAUAUACACAUUGUAAAUUUUGAGGUAACCAUUCAGGUUACUCUAAUUGAAUCAUCUUGGUUACAGUAUUGAUUUGAGUUUGCAUUUGAAGCAAGAGAGUCAAACUACAGUAAAGGCAGGAGAAUUAGAAAUCUUAAAAUUGAAACUAAACAUAUUAAUCUAUAAAAAAAUAUUUAAAUUAGAAAACCAAUAAUUUUCAAACCUAAGCCAGGAGAAAGAAAAGAGGGAAAUUAUCAAUCAAAGAGUCAACAAAGGAAAGGUUUUGUUGAAUUCAUUUUAUUUGUUUUUUUUGGUUUAUUAAUUUCUUCCAAGUAAGAACUUGAUUAUAGUUGGUCAUAUUGUAUUUUUUGUUUCCCCUUUUUGUUAAAAGUUGACAUUUCAUUGGGUUUAUCUUUGUCAUUUAUUAUUUACUGUUCAUCACAUCAACAUUUCAAUCA